GACGAACGCUGGCGGCGUGCCUAAUACAUGCAAGUCGAACGCUGAAGGAGGAGCUUGCUUCUCUGGAUGAGUUGCGAACGGGUGAGUAACGCGUAGGUAACCUGCCUGGUAGCGGGGGAUAACUAUUGGAAACGAUAGCUAAUACCGCAUAAGAGUAGAUGUUGCAUGACAUUUGCUUAAAAGGUGCAAUUGCAUCACUACCAGAUGGACCUGCGUUGUAUUAGCCAGUUGGUGGGGUAACGGCUCACCAAGGCGACGAUACAUAGCCGACCUGAGAGGGUGAUCGGCCACACUGGGACUGAGACACGGCCCAGACUCCUACGGGAGGCAGCAGUAGGGAAUCUUCGGCAAUGGACGGAAGUCUGACCGAGCAACGCCGCGUGAGUGAAGAAGGUUUUCGGAUCGUAAAGCUCUGUUGUAAGAGAAGAACGAGUGUGAGAGUGGAAAGUUCACACUGUGACGGUAGCUUACCAGAAAGGGACGGCUAACUACGUG
rnacentral:rRNA from 1 species